AGCAGGUGCCCUUUAUGGACAACAUCAACGAGGAACAUGCUGGACCACACGCCCAUGCUCUUGAGCUAGACGAGGACAUCAUCGUGUCGUACCUCAAUCUCGAGGUGACGAUGAUGCCGACUCACCGCACAAGUGGUUGAUGAACAACUUUGCCAAGCACUAGGCCAACCUGAGUGUGGGCCCCAUCACAUCCAAGAUGAUGGACGGGACCGGUGUUGGUUUUUUGUGAUUUUGCUUGCCUAGCCGCAACCAUGGACGUGGUGAUGCCUGGCCUCGGCUACAACUGCACAGUGAUUGAAGAUCAACCCUGCCAAGUUGUUGAAAUAAGCACUCCAUGGAUGGAAUCCUGCAGUUGAUCCAUCCAUCUC